UAAAAUGGGAGAGACAAAUUUGGCAAGGAAGAUUUCACGCUUCCUUUCUUCCAUGCAACUCUACUAGUAAUACAGAUGAGGCAUGCGUUUGCUUUCAGCCUUCAUGGAUGGCACCACACUCACUUCCUUUCCCUCCCCCUGCUCUGGUGCUCUAAGCAAGGGCAUGCGAGUCACAUAUCAAAGGCCAACACUAGUUUUACUUCUACCUAAUAAUGCACUUCCAGCUUGUUCAGCGCCUGCCUGUUCAGACUGUCAGAUUCCAGCUAGAAGUGUUUGUAAACAGAGCUGAAGAAACUCUCCCAACUUUGCCUCAAGUACUGCAGCAUAGAUAUUAUAGUCAUGAAAUGAAUGUCCCUGGGAAGAAAACAGAUAUACUCAGUAACCUACCCUAUGGCACUGAGCUUUGUAUUACAAAGAGCAGGAGAGAAUGAGGAACAUUGCAAAGGGUGUUUAUGACUAGCUGCUAUGCAAACUAGUAAAAACAAGUCAUCUGAGAAAGAGAAGGAACAUUGACUGCUUUGACAACUGCCUUGCCAUUGCUAAGGAAACUGCUCCCUUGGUAACCAUGCCACUGGCAGGUCAACUAACAAGAGAAGAAUGACUGGCAACAGGCUAGAAACUACAAUGGGCUGGCGUGUUUACAGCUCCGUCAACAGCUCAGUGUUAAUGAACUGAGUCUUAAAAUUACCUCUCUAUUGAUGAUGGCUUGAAUGUAGCACAUGUAUUUAAAGGUUAGUGAUUGCCUCUGGCGGCGUUCUGAAUUUGGGGAGAGUUUAUUUUUCGCUUGCAGAUUUAACUCUUUUUUUGAAAGGAGGCUGUAAAAGUCCUGUAAACCAUAAUCCCCCCCCACUACUCUUGUUUUGCUACCUUCACGACUGGCAAGGAUCUCAGCGUCCCAGCUCAAAUGCCCUGGGGUAUGUUACUUUGCUCUGUCCAUAGCGUGUCUACAUGAGAAAGAGAAUAAGCACACUUACAUUCCAGUUUUAACUGGAAACUUAACAUUUGUGCAGGUUUGUCUUAUUUUUCGCUAAAAAAACCAAAAAACCACCCCCCAAAAAACAAAAAAAAAACCCUAGAAAAGCAAGACUGCCCAUUAAUGCAACAAGAUGAGGAUGGGGACUACGUACGAGUAAACCAGCUGAGCGCACUGCAAGGAUUUGCUGUAAUGAAGGGGAAAGUUUUUACAGAGGGUGAUGUUUCUGCUCAUGAUUUUUCUCUUCUCUUUGUUUUAUGUAGGUGGUGUCGAUGAUGCUUUGGCUGAAUGAAAUGGGAACAGACUGGAGAAGAGUCCCUGGAGGAUAUCGGGCUAGGACUUCCUGUUUACCAGUGAGACAGGCCAGGAGCGUUUCCAGACUGGCUUCAUUUUCUUCAUCAAGGCACAAGCUACAGUUUCUUGGGGCCUCUUAGAGCUGUAUUGCUGCAUGCAUUUUAAUCUGUGAUGUAGGCAGCUCAUGCAAAGAUCUGGUUUCUUCAAAGUGCGUGGCACCUAACCACACACCACACUCAGUGAUGCCCUGUAGAUCCAUUUUUUAUGAUGUUUAGGGGCAGCUUUCUCAGGUAGGGGAGCUUUCACUGCUCCAGGAAUGGUCUAGUUAUACAACACAGUUACUUAUCAGACUAGUUCAGGGGCCGGUAAUUAUCUUGGGCAGAGAGCCACUUACUAAGUUUUGGCAAGCCAUCGAGGGCCGCAUGAUAGGCAGUCCAGGGCAGAUAAAUAUUAAUUGUC